AAGUCGUAACAAGGUUUCCGUAGGUGAACCUGCGGAAGGAUCAUUAAAAAUCCAAACCUGCGUCUUUAUGGCGCACUUACUCUUGUGAACUGUUAUCUCUAGUCAAUUCUCGGUUUUGUGGGUUGAGAGCUUGAGUCUCUUCGUGAGAUUCGCUUUCCCUGCAUGCCGGGAGUAGGCGAUCCCUGCAUUGGGCUCCGGCUCUUUACAGGUUAUAAACCUUUAUAUUUUAUUUGAUUAAUUUUAGUUUGCGGCCGAAAGGCGGAACUUAACUUUAAUACAACUUUCAACAACGGAUCUCUUGGCUCUC
rnacentral:misc_RNA from 1 species